rnacentral:rRNA from 1 species
GAUGAACGCUGGCGGCGUGCUUAACACAUGCAAGUCGAACGGAAAGGCUCCUGCUUGCAGGGGUACUCGAGUGGCGAACGGGUGAGUAACACGUGGGUGAUCUGCCCUGCACUUCGGGAUAAGCCUUGGAAACUGGGUCUAAUACCGGAUAGGACCACAUUUUGGAUGGUGUGGUGGAAAGUUUUUCGGUGUGGGAUGAGCUCGCGGCCUAUCAGCUUGUUGGUGGGGUAAUGGCCUACCAAGGCGCCGACGGGUAGCCGGCCUGAGAGGGUGUACGGCCACAUUGGGACUGAGAUACGGCCCAGACUCCUACGGGAGGCAGCAGUGGGGAAUAUUGCACAAUGGGCGCAAGCCUGAUGCAGCGACGCCGCGUGGGGGAUGACGGCCUUCGGGUUGUAAACUCCUUUCGCUAGGGACGAAGCGCAAGUGACGGUACCUGGAGAAGAAGCACCGGCUAACUACGUG